GCUACGCUAAUACCGCAUAAGCCCUGAGGGGGAAAGCGGGGGAUUCUUAGGAACCUCGCGCAAUUGGAGCGGCCGAUGUCAGAUUAGCUAGUUGGUAGGGUAAAGGCCUACCAAGGCGACGAUCUGUAGCGGGUCUGAGAGGAUGAUCCGCCACACUGGGACUGAGACACGGCCCAGACUCCUACGGGAGGCAGCAGUGGGGAAUUUUGGACAAUGGGGGCAACCCUGAUCCAGCCAUGCCGCGUGAGUGAAGAAGGCCUUCGGGUUGUAAAGCUCUUUCAGUUGGGAAGAAACGGGGUUCUCUAACAUAGAGCUCUAAUGACGGUACCGACAGAAGAAGCACCGGCUAACUACGUGCCAGCAGCCGCGGUAAUAC
rnacentral:rRNA from 1 species